rnacentral:rRNA from 1 species
UCUAGAGUNUCGGAGAGGAAAGCGGAAUUCCUAGUGUAGCGGUGAAGUGCGUAGAUAUUAGGAAGAACACCAGUGGCGAAGGCGACUUUCUGGACGAAAACUGACGCUGAGGCGCGAAAGCCAGGGGAGCGAACGGGAUUAGAUACCCCGGUAGUCCUGGCCGUAAACGAUGGGUACUAGGUGUAGGAGGUAUCGACCCCUUCUGUGCCGGAGUUAACGCAAUAAGUACCCCGCCUGGGGAGUACGACCGCAAGGUUGAAACUCAAAGGAAUUGACGGGGGCCCGCACAAGCGGUGGAGUAUGUGGUUUAAUUCGACGCAACGCGAAGAACCUUACCAGGUCUUGACAUUGAUGGACAGAACUAGAGAUAGUUCCUCUUCUUCGGAAGCCAGAAAACAGGUGGUGCACGGUUGUCGUCAGCUCGUGUCGUGAGAUGUUGGGUUAAGUNNNNNAACGAGCGCAACCCCUAUCUUAUGUUGCCAGCACUUUGGGUGGGGACUCAUGAGAGGCUGCCGCAGACAAUGCGGAGGAAGGCGGGGAUGACGUCAAAUCAUCAUGCCCCUUAUGACCUGGGCUACACACGUACUACAAUGGGAGUUAAUAGACGGAAGCGAGAUCGCGAGAUGGAGCAAACCCGAGAAACACUCUCUCAGUUCGGAUCGUAGGCUGCAACUCGCCUACGUGAAGUCGGAAUCGCUAGUAAUCGCAGGUCAGCAUACUGCGGUGAAUACGUUCCCGGGCCU